rnacentral:lncRNA from 1 species
ACAGAAAACUUUGGCCAAAGGCACGUGUCGUGCCUUUCUUUUCCCUCUUUUUAUUUUCUGUUUUUCUUACACCGUGUUACAAAACUCACGCAGCCGGACCUGUAUAUAUAUACAGAACCAACCGACCUAAACACAACUCCAAGACCCACACGGCAAGUGCAACAUCUUGGCGGACACUUAUUACUAAACGGACUAGUACUAUUCAUCUGGACACUAAUUUCCUACACACAAACGUACUAGACCCUGUCCUACACGGAUAUGAACCAAACUCAAACUAAUACUGCCAUGUGACGUGCAAGCCAGCCGGGUUGAUCAUGUAACCAACAUGCUACUUGACAAACAAUACUAACUCAAGAUUAUCUCUAACAUUCUCUCCCUAAUCUUGACUCUUGUCUUCCGUGCUUCUCCAGUCUUGACUCGUCGACGAUUCAUCCCUUGUCGACUCAUCCGCUCGCACCACGACAAGUCAAAUUGUUGGCUUGGUUGCUUGCAACAAUCUCCCCUCCAAUUUUGACUUGGCGAAUUUACGGACCACCUCAAAUAUGCCUUGGACUACCCACCUCGCUAGUAACAUGUGGAAAACACCACCCGGUAGACUACACCAUCCACCCUAGCAAGAUACAUGCCGACUCCUUGUGGAUCACACCACCCCGUGGACUACACCGCCCACUCCAGCCUCAUGUAGAGACAUGGCCUCAUUGAAGAGACUCACCUUCACUGGUUUACCGCCCCCACAUACUUGAACUUGGUCCUCUCGUCGAGACACAUAGACGACCUGGAUGCGCUUCAUCUUCAACGCCUUCUCGCAGAGACAAGCACUUGGGCAUGACGACGACGACGACUGACCAACGCAACGACGACUAACCGUGCAAACUCGCAGGAUUCCUUGACUCAUCCGACUCCCCCGGACGAUGAUCUUGAUGAGCUCCAGCGCCGCACCUCAGCACCACCUCCCCCAUCAACGAUCUUCUUCCACCGCCUUGCCGACGACAGCCUGCCGUCUCCCUCCUUGUCGCUCCGCCGAACGACGAUCACCUGAUCCUCCUCAUCCGUCGCUCCAUACCGCGACUAUAUUGCCCGCCCCGGGGCGCUAGUAGAUCGCCACCCCGGGGCAAGCGCAGCUUCACUCGAACCUUGCUCUAGAUACCAAUUGUUGGAAUUUUGCCACAGGAUCGAUCACAUCAAAUCACGAUCAACACACGCGCACAGAAAACUUUGGCCAAAGGCACGUGUCGUGCCUUUCUUUUCCCUCUUUUUAUUUUCUGUUUUUCUUACACCGUGUUACAAAACUCACGCAGUCGGACCUGUAUAUAUAUACAGAACCAACCGACCUAAACACAACUCCAAGACCCACACGGCAAGUGCAACAUCUUGGCGGACACUUAUUACUAAACGGACUAGUACUAUUCAUCUGGACACUAAUUUCCUACACACAAACGUACUAGACCCUGUCCUACACGGACAUGAACCAAACUCAAACUAAUACUGCCAUGUGACGUGCAAGCCAGCCGUGUUGAUCACGUAACUAAUCACGUAACCAACAUGCUACUUGACAAACAAUACUAACUCAAGAUUAUCUCUAACAUGUGUGAGGACAGUAAAUAUUUGCAUACGCUCGUCAAAUUUAUGUUACUUACUGCAAACUGAAAAAAACCUUGUUGUGGCAAAUGUAAUAUGGACCAAAGCAAAUGAGCUUCUGUUUUUUUCUAAACUUUUGUGAUAUAUCAAUGUUAGGGAGUAACUUCCCGACAGUGUAGUUGCCAUCAAUGUUAGAGAGAAUGUUCUAUAAGACUUGCUUAUUGUCUCUUUUGCCUAGGUAA